GGGCCGGGGUGGCUGCUCGGCGGCGCCGGCCGCUGCGCCCCCGCGGCGCUCCCCGGCCCCGGAGUCCAGGCUGCUGAAAUUCCACACGACCAGCGUCUGCAGCAGCAGCACGGAAGAAAGUUGGGCAUAAAGAGAAUCUAUCAGAGUGAGGCCAGUGGUAGGAAGAGACGGACCAUCCAUCCACUCUGCUAGCAUCUGUGACUACUGACCUGCUGACAAAUGCUAGGCCAGGUACAGAGAUCCAAAGCUCACUACACCUGAAUCUCACCUCAGCCAGUUCCAGGUGCAGAAGAGCCAGAGGCAGAUAUGCUUCAGUCAAAGAUGGCCCGAGCAUCCUUUUCUGUGAAACAGGGAGAGAGCUAUUGUGAAAAUGAGAUGAAGUAAUGCCUCCACAUAUUUCAGGCACAUGGAUGAAGAAACCAAAUACCUAUCCAUCACUAGGGAGAUGCAGUGGAGGAGGGAAAAGAAGCAAAUGUUUGUUGGACCUCUGCUUCCUUCUUCACUCUGCACAGCUCUCUUUCCAUACAUUGAGUUAUGUCAUGUUUAGGACGUCCCUUUGUGGAUAUCCUAUCCCUUGAGGAUAUUCAUUUUCGUCUCCUUUGGACACAAGAAGGACAGGACCCAGUGUUGGUUGAAUCUGAAGAUGUGAAACCUGAGUACACAGAGGGUCAACUGUACUUUCUGUUUCCAUGGAUUUACCCUUUUUGGACAUUUUAUAUAUAUGGAAUCAUAUGCAAUGUGGCCUUUUUCAUAAAUGAGAAAAAAUCCCUUUGCAAACAGCUCAGGUUGCAGGAACAAAAUAAAAGCAAGAUGGGCAACUGCCUAACGAAUAACUUUUCCUUGUGGAAAGCAGAGAUAUUCUAGAUGAAGGGAAUGGUGGCUGCAUUAUAACUGGCAGUUAAGAGCUGCCCCAGGCUUGGCCUGCAGGUCCC